UGGGGAAUUUUGCACAAUGGGGGAAACCCUGAUGCAGCGACGCCGCGUGAUUUAGAAGGCCUUCGGGUUGUAAAAAUCUUUUCUAUGGGAAGAAAAUGACAGUACCAUAGGAAUAAGGACCGGCUAAUUACGUGCCAGCAGCCGCGGUAAUACGUAAGGUCCGAGCGUUGUCCGGAAUCAUUGGGCGUAAAGGGUACGUAGGCGGGUAAGCAAGUUAGAAGUGAAAUCCUGUAGCUCAACUACAGUAAGCUUUUAAAACUGCUCAUCUUGAGAUAUGGAAGGGAAAGUGGAAUUCCUGGUGUAGCGGUGAAAUGCGCAGAUAUUAGGAGGAAUACCGGUGGCGAAGGCGACUUUCUGGCCAUCAUCUGACGCUGAGGUACGAAAGCGUGGGUAGCAAACAGG
rnacentral:rRNA from 1 species